rnacentral:snoRNA from 1 species
UGAUGAAGACUUUUGGGUCGGAUUUAUGAAGACGUGGCGGCUAACUGA